CCAAAGGCUCUUUUCAGAGCCAUUCACAUAAUCCAAAAAGAAGCUG
rfam:Rattus norvegicus chromosome 17, whole genome shotgun sequence.